GUAGGUGGCAAGCGUUGUCCGGAAUUAUUGGGCGUAAAGCGCGCGCAGGCGGUUCUUUAAGUCUGAUGUGAAAGCCCACGGCUCAACCGUGGAGGGUCAUUGGAAACUGGAGAACUUGAGUACAGAAGAGGAAAGCGGAAUUCCACGUGUAGCGGUGAAAUGCGUAGAGAUGUGGAGGAACACCAGUGGCGAAGGCGGCUUUCUGGUCUGUAACUGACGCUGAGGCGCGAAAGCGUGGGGAGCAAACAGGGAUUAGAUACCCUGGUAGUCCACGCCGUAAACGAUGAGUGCUAAGUGUAGGGGGGUUUCCGCCCCCUUAGUGCUGCAGCUAACGCAUUAAGCACUCCGCCUGGGGAUACGGCCGCAAGGCUG
rnacentral:rRNA from 1 species